rnacentral:rRNA from 1 species
UACGAAGGGGGCUAGCGUUGUUCGGAAUUACUGGGCGUAAAGCGUAUGUAGGCGGAUCGUUAAGUCGGGGGUGAAAUCCCGAGGCUCAACCUCGGAACUGCCUUCGAUACUGGCGACCUUCGAGUCCGGGAGAGGUGAGUGGAACUCCGAGUGUAGAGGUGAAAUUCGUAGAUAUUCGGAAGAACACCAGUGGCGAAGGCGGCUCACUGGCCCGGUACUGACGCUGAAAUACGAAAGCGUGGGGAGCAAACAGG